rnacentral:rRNA from 1 species
AUUGAACGCUGGCGGCAGGCCUAACACAUGCAAGUCGAACGGCAGCGGGGGGUAGCUUGCUACCCCGCCGGCGAGUGGCGGACGGGUGAGUAAUGCCUGGGGAGCUGCCCAAUCGAGGGGGAUACCAGUUGGAAACGACUGCUAAUACCGCAUACGCCCUGAGGGGGGAAAGGUGGGGAUCUUCGGACCUACCGCGAUUGGAUGCACCCAGGUGGGAUUAGCUAGUUGGUGAGGUAACGGCUCACCAAGGCGACGAUCUCUAGCUGGUCUGAGAGGAUGACCAGCCACACUGGAACUGAGACACGGUCCAGACUCCUACGGGAGGCAGCAGUGGGGAAUAUUGCACAAUGGGGGAAACCCUGAUGCAGCCAUGCCGCGUGUGUGAAGAAGGCCUUCGGGUUGUAAAGCACUUUCAGCGAGGAGGAAAGGGGUGAUGCUAACACCAUCAUUCUGUGACGUUACUCGCAGGAGAAGCACCGGCUAACUCCGUGCCAGCCGCCGCGGUAAGAC